rnacentral:rRNA from 1 species
GUCUCUUUGUUGUAAUUAUAUAAAGAGUCGGGCCUGCUCGGUGAAAUAAUUUUAACAGCUGCGGUAUUUUAACUGUACUAAGGUAGCAUAAUAAUUUGCCUUAUAAUUUGAGGCUAGAAUGAAUGGUUUGACGAAGGUUAAUCUGUCUCUAUUUUAUUUUUUAGAAUUUAAUUUUUAUGUGAAAAAGCUUAAAUUUUUUAAAGGGACGAGAAGACCCUAUUGAGCUUAUAAUUUUAUUUAUUUUUGAUAAUAUUAUAAAGAAUAAUAUGAAUUUUGAUUGGGGUGAUCAAGGAAUAAUAAUUAUAUAAUAACUUCCUUAUACUUAUUAAUUGGUAAAUUAAUUAACCAAUAUUAUUGAUUAUAAUUAAGUUACCAUAGGGAUAACAGCGUAAUUUAUUUUGAGAGUUCUUAUCGAAAAAUAAGAUUGCGACCUCGAUGUUGGAUUAAAGUAACCCUUAGGGUGUAGAAGUUCUAGAAGGUAAAUCUGUUCGAUUUUUAAAAUUUUACA